GAACUAGGGUUUCCAAGAAGUAUGAAUGAUUAACGUGAAUUCUCAAAAGUUUUAUGUUAAGAUGUAAAAACGGGUAGGUUGCUAACUUGAUCAAGGAGGUUGCACUCUUGUGGAGAAUACAGGCCGUAAUAGUGUUGUAAUAACAAUAAACUCAAAUACAUAUGAACCGAAGUAAAUAUAACUCCAGAAAAUUUAAACUGUAACAAGGAAUGCACAACAAUGAUUGAAUGUGAGGCUUGGCUUUGCGUCACAAGAUUGAUAUAAUAAACGAACCAAAUGUGCUUAAGUCUUUAAAAACACAAGGCUUCACCGAGAAGUACCUUUGGACAUUUGGAAUGAUGAAUAAUAUGAAAUAUAUAAUAUAUUAUAUAAUACA
rnacentral:misc_RNA from 1 species